UACGGAGGAUGCGAGCGUUAUCCGGAUUUAUUGGGUUUAAAGGGUGCGUAGGCGGCCUUGUAAGUCAGCGGUGAAAUUUUGCAGCUUAACUGUAAAAGUGCCGUUGAUACUGUGAGGCUAGGAUUUGGUUGCUGUGGGUGGAAUGUGUGGUGUAGCGGUGAAAUGCUUAGAGAUCACACAGAAUAUCGAUUGUGAAGGCAGCACACAAAGCCAAGAUUGACGCUGAGGCACGAAAGUGUGGGGAGUCAAACAGGA
rnacentral:rRNA from 1 species